UCGCAAAUGUUGCGUAAGGCUCUUUAAUCCCAAAAAUACAAUGAAAAGUUGAAGAUAGGAUAGUUUGGAGCCACAUGGCUACCAGAUGGACCCAUACCAUAAUCCCGGCUGUCUAUCGAAAAAGAAAAUAAUAAAAAUCGUAGGUACCUAAUCGAAUCUACGGAGAAACAUAAUAUAAGAAUCGAAAUAGACGGAAGGCUGUAUUCAGUGAUAUGUAUAGCAUGGGAGAAGUUGGUUGAUGGAUUCGACGUUUUAUUAGGCGGACAAAGGAAUGGAAUCGGCGCAAGAAGAAAAUUAUGUUAUUUGUUUUGACGGUGGGAGAUGGAUUGCAGAGUGGAAGUGGGAAAAAGAGCCCUGUCUAUCAAAAAAGGCGGGACAAUAUGCAAUCAAGCCCGGUAAACAAUAAAAAUUCGAACAAGAAAUGGAGAGAUCAGGAACGGAAGGCUUGAUCUAGGUUCAAUUAAUGUUUGUGAUGGUAUGCCCAUUAUAGCAGUUGAGCAAGCGAAGAAGAGUCCAGUGCUGGAAUUCAGAUAACUGUACAAAUUUGUCUAUUUUUGUUAGGCCGAUGCAAAUAUAUCCAGCGAAAAAAAUUAGGAGAUGGAGGAAAUUGCCUUACAACAGUGCUCUAUUGGAUCUGAGGGAUAAUAAUAGUUAUCAAAUGUUUCUUCUUGACUUGAUGAAUUAUUCCAUCUUAUAGGUUCCUUUAAGUACUCGAAGAAUUGGGGAACCUCACAGGCAAUCGGUGAGGAUCAAAAGUAUUUAUUUAUUAGGGGAUAAAUAUAUAAUAUAUUAAAGCAAGACAAUUACGAACUAAUUAAAUCGAGUAAGGAAUUUAUAUGAUGAUUAAAUUCAAAACUAUCCACAUCCUCUUCAUUCGGCCUGGAAGACAAUGAAGCUACACUAAAGGGCUCUUCAUGUUGUAAGGAAUGUAAUCUAAAAACAUCUGAAGUCAUUUGAGAUAACCAUUUAUCUUCGUUGGACUUCUCUUCUCCUUCUUCAUCGUACAACUCAUGUAUAUGGGGUAAUAUUUAUUAGUAGCUUUAUCACGGAAAAUAUAGAUGACACAUCAGAGGCAAAUUUAUUUGAAUAAAAAAUAUUUGAUUUAUUAAUUGCAGAUUCAUCAAUUAUCAAAAGGACUGUUUAAAAAGAGCUAUUUCUAAGGAAGACAAAUUUAACAAAAAUUAAUCUCAUUUUGGAUUUUUACUUAAUGUAUUGAACAAACUUGGUGUCGAACUCUUUUUAAGAAGUACAUAUAUGAGAUACAUUCAGUCAUUUAAUUCCGAAUACUCCUUGUAUUAAACAUUCCCUUGCUAUAAAAAU
rnacentral:lncRNA from 1 species